rnacentral:rRNA from 1 species
UACGAAGGGGAGCUAGCGUUGCUCGGAAUCACUGGGCGUAAAGCGCACGUAGGCGGGUCUUUAAGUCGGGGGUGAAAUCCUGGAGCUCAACUCCAGAACUGCCUUCGAUACUGAGGAUCUCGAGUCCGGGAGAGGUGAGUGGAACUCCGAGUGUAGAGGUGAAAUUCGUAGAUAUUCGGAAGAACACCAGUGGCGAAGGCGGACUCACUGGCCCGGUACUGACGCUGAGGUGCGAAAGCGUGGGGAGCAAACAGGG